rnacentral:rRNA from 1 species
AUACGGAGGGUGCGAGCGUUAAUCGGAAUUACUGGGCGUAAAGAGUGCGUAGGCGGUUAUUUAAGUCGGGUGUGAAAGCCCCGGGCUCAACCUGGGAGGGUCAUUCGAAACUGGAUAACUGGAGUCUGGCAGAGGCUGGCGGAAUUCCCGGUGUAGCGGUGAAAUGCGUAGAUAUCGGGAGGAACAUCAGUGGCGAAGGCGGCCAGCUGGGCCAAGACUGACGCUGAGGCACGAAAGCGUGGGGAGCAAACAGGAUUAGAAACCCCAGUAGUCC